rnacentral:rRNA from 1 species
AUGUUCCAAGGUGGUUCUUCAAGGAAGCAAGGUCCCAGACUUGCAAUACGUGAUGCUGACGAGGAACCACCAAGAGACGCUCCUUUGAGGCCCUGUGAAUGGCCAUCGGAAUUUUUUUUGAAUCAAGCGGGAAUCAAAGAAGAAUUUAGUGCAUAUUUGCGUAACGCCGGUCUUGAGGACUUUGAAGCUGACAAAUGCCCCCAGUAUCAUGAUCUCACAAGUUCAUUUGUGAGGAGGUUUGAGUUUUCAUCUUCGCGUAAUUCUCCUUCAAUCAUGUUUGACCUUUAUGACAAAUCUUAUACCAUGGACUUAGAGGAUUUCACUUCUGCUUGCAAACUUCCAUCUUGGGGUAAUGUCAGGGAUCCCCCUAAAUCUGAAUAUAUAGACUUUCUUGCUAGAAUAACUGUGGGGGAAUCUAGAGAUAUAACACAAGCCACUAUAGGGAGCGUUCACUUUCCUGCUAUACAUUAUUUUGCUCUCUUCAUAGGUAGAUGCAUAAAUGCUAAGGAUGAAGCAUGUCACAUGUGUGUCCCUGAUCUCAGCAUUCUCAAGAGUGUUGUGUUAGGAGACCAAUCUUAUCAUAUGGGAGCCAUCGUAGCUCGCAGGUUGCAUCAGAAUAGACAUAACGGAGAUUUCUUUGGAGGAAUUUAUGCAACCCGCUUAGCUAAUUUUCUUGAGAUAGACAUUCGUGAGGGUGAUAUGGAGUUACCCCCUUCUUAUUUAGAUUUUGAUUCUAUGGUUUCCCACCAGUUUGUUGAGAGGACUGAACCACCUCUCUAG